rnacentral:rRNA from 1 species
GAGUUUGAUCAUGGCUCAGGAUUAACGCUGGCGGUAUGCCUAACACAUGCAAGUCGAACGGAAUACUCGAAAAGAGAAUCUCACACUAGUGAGAGGUUCUCCAACCGAGUAUUUAGUGGCGGACGGGUGAGUAACACGUUGGAACCUGCCCCGAAGUGGGGAAUAACUGCUCGAAAGAGUAGCUAAUACCCCAUAGUAUCCGGUUUAUCCGGAUUAAAGAUUUAUCGCUUCGGGAGGGGCCUGCGUCUGAUUAGCUUGUUGGUGGGGUAAAAGCUCACCAAGGCGACGAUCAGUAGCUGGUUCGAGAGGAUGACCAGCCACACUGGGACUGAGAUACGGCCCAGACUCCUACGGGAGGCAGCAGUGAGGAAUCUUCCACAAUGGACGAAAGUCUGAUGGAGCAAUACCGCGUGCAGGACGACGCUUUUCGGAGUGUAAACUGCUUUUGUCGUCGAAGAUUAUGACUGUAGACGAAGAAUAAGGACCGGCUAACUACGUG